rnacentral:tRNA from 1 species
UGGGGUAUAGCACAGUGGUAGGACAUUUGCCUAGCACAUGCGAUGCCCUGGGUUCAAUCCCCAGUACCCCAA